UUUUAUAAUAAUAUCGGAAUCUAUACCUAAUUUCCAACUAUUGCUAAGCCAACUAGAUUCAGUGUGAAUCCAGCCUGAAUAAUCUGGAUUAAAUAUAUUAUAAGCGUAACAGAACUCCAUCUUGAUUCAAUAAUUCAAGGUAUUAUGAAUAUAAACACAACAAAUGGGUGUUAUCUGAUCAGUCUUGGUUGGGAGCAAUAGAGAAAGAAACUUAAAAUGACAAUGGCAAGCAUCUCAGCCUGCAAAGCCCUGGGAAGGGACACAAAAGCAGCCAGAAGCAGUAGGUACAGGGAUGACCAAGCCAUGGCUGUGGUUAGGUGUUACACACCACCAAGGACAGACAAGCUCCACCACCUGGGGAUUUUUUUAAAAUGAGCUAUUUAUUGAAAUAGAAGUUACAAUUUACACAGACAGCCAGGUUGUGGUGGUAGCAUAUACCUUUAAACCCAGUACUUGGGCAGUAGAGGCAGGCAGAUCUCUGAGUAAGAGUCCAGCCUGGUCUACAGAAUGAGUUCCAGUACAAGCAGAGUUACAUAGAGAAACAGCCUCAGAAAAAAAGAAGUUAUAUACUCUAUUUUUAUGCCUUUUAUUCAAUUCUGUGAGUGUUGAUCCACGUUCUGCUAUUAAAGUAGCACAGAUAUAGAGGUUAAAAAUGAGGCUGUAAAGCAGCCAUCCUAGUGAGUCCCUGAACCUGUGACUGAUGAGUGCUGAUUCUCACUCUAAUGCUCUACUUGGUCAUACUCCUCACUGAGCUUUCAGUAGCCUCUAGAGCUUGCCUUUGUGGGCACAGUUGGCUCACCCUUCUGCCCUGCUCUCUAGUACCCCUGGAUCCCACCUGUGGCUGGACUUACCUGCUUCUCAUCUGUAGCAGUUGUAAUUCCUGUGAUAUGAUAUGAAAAUAGUCCUGCAGAUGCAACUGUCUGAUUUCUUAUCCUUAAAACUCCUGAGGUUGGAUUGUAGGCUGCCUGUAACAGCAAGUUAGCAAAUUUUCAUGCCUGCAUUGCCUUUGCAUGGAUAGUCUGUGUAUGGUUUAUCAGAUCAUCAGUUGCAACACAUUUGGUAAUUACAAAAAAAUAAAUAAAUAAAUAAAAUCACUAUGCACAAUCUUUUAUGUAAACAUAGCAUUUACUUCUGUUUAAAGAGGAUUAGAAUUUCCAGGCUUAUAAUAGUUGCUUUAAACUGUAUCAUGGAGUAAUUCUAUUUAAAUUAAUUCAUGAGGUAAUUCUAUUUAAAGAAAAAAAACUGAUGAUGUCUCAUUGAUUUCUUGAAAGAAUAACUCUAGAUUACUAUAUUUUAAACCUAUUUCAACAGAAAAUUUAAUAUUACUCUGAUAAAAUAUUUAAUAUCAUAUACAGUUUUUCCAGAAAGUCAUCAUUGUGCAUGUCUGCUUUUUAGUACAGAGUGAUUUAUCUGUGUAAGAAUUUGUAUAUGAUGCUGAUUGACCUAUCCUUCAGAAUGAGUUCAUCCCAUGCAGUUCUAAUUGUCUCUAAAUGGAUUUGGGCUUUCUGUUUCCUAGAGCUGUUUGCUGAGUUUCUCAUAACUUGCUCUCUGCUUUCACUCUUGUACUUUCUGUGUUCUUUCUCUGGUAUUUAUUGGUACCAUAAUAAUAUGCAUCAUGGCUAAAUUGGCAGCAGCACUUGUUAGCAAGUCUAAUGACCUGAAUUUAUUCCCUGGAACCCAUGUGGUACCAAGCAAGAUCAACUCUUCCAAGUUGUCCUUUGAAGUCCACAGGAACACUCUGCUGGGUACACCCAUCUCAUAGUGCCACCCACCUACAAAAAUCAAUUUUAAAAAUUAUUAAGAAUAUAUGAAAUUUUAGUCUAAAUACUUUAUAUCUACUUAAUUUUUAAAACAUUACUUUCAAAUUAAAAGAAAACUUUCUUUGCAGGUUCUUGGUGUUUGCAGUAAGAAGAGUCUGAUUGUGUUUGUUUUGUAAUGACCUCAGCCUCAGUCUAGCUUUCACUCCAGUAGUGACAGUGACAACCUGUUCUCCCCCAAUUCACUUUUUCCAUCUUUUCAAAACUGAUAUUGUGAGUUUUCACUGUAUGAGUAAUCUCCUUUGUAAGUUGUGUGUGUGUGUGUGUGUGUGUGUGUGUGUGUGUGUGUGGUCACUGCAGUCAUUUUAAGUACAUACUGACAACACAAUUGUCAGGAAAGUGCUUCUUCUCUGAAGAACUUCCCUUCACACUAGACAUAUUACUGCUAAACCAAUAAAUAUUUACAGAUUGACUGCCUGAGUCAAUGGUGAGAAGCAGCCUUACUUACUAAAAGCACCCUUAACUUACUAAAAGUGCACAUUUGUUGUUGAUGCGUCUAUCACAGGGUACUGUUAAAAAAAAUACAAGCCUACACUACAGCUACUAUCACAUGUUAUCACAGGGUGGAAAGAAAAGACUUAAGCUGAGAUCCACCUCAAAGAGAACAAACCUCAGGGUUACUCAACUCCACUCCCUCCCCAUAUCCCCACUUAUUUACCUAAAAGAAGGAAAGGGUCUAUCCUCCUAGCUGAUGUAUCUAAGAUAGAAGAAGGAACAAGUUAAACUAAGGAGAAAGGCCUAAGAAUGGAAAUAUAUAGUUGCAAGUG
rnacentral:lncRNA from 1 species